rnacentral:rRNA from 1 species
AUUGAACGCUGGCGGCAUGCCUUACACAUGCAAGUCGAACGGUAACGCGGGGGCAACCCUGGCGACGAGUGGCGAACGGGUGAGUAAUGCAUCGGAACGUGCCCAGUAGUGGGGGAUAGCUCGGCGAAAGCCGGAUUAAUACCGCAUACGCACUACGGUGGAAAGCGGGGGACCGAAAGGCCUCGCGCUAUUGGAGCGGCCGAUGUCGGAUUAGCUUGUUGGUGGGGUAAAAGCCUACCAAGGCGACGAUCCGUAGCUGGUCUGAGAGGACGACCAGCCACACUGGGACUGAGACACGGCCCAGACUCCUACGGGAGGCAGCAGUGGGGAAUUUUGGACAAUGGGCGAAAGCCUGAUCCAGCAAUGCCGCGUGUGUGAAGAAGGCCUUCGGGUUGUAAAGCACUUUUGGCGGGAACGAAACAGCGCU